AUUGAACGCUGGCGGCAGGCUUAACACAUGCAAGUCGAACGGUAGCAGGAAGAAGCUUGCUUCUUUGCUGACGAGUGGCGGACGGGUGAGUAAUGCUUGGGAAUCUAGCUUAUGGAGGGGGAUAACUACGGGAAACUGUAGCUAAUACCGCGUAAUAUCGAAAGAUUAAAGUGUGGGACCUUCGGGCCACAUGCCAUAGGAUGAGCCCAAGUGGGAUUAGGUAGUUGGUGAGGUAAAGGCUCACCAAGCCGACGAUCUCUAGCUGGUCUGAGAGGAUGACCAGCCACACUGGGACUGAGACACGGCCCAGACUCCUACGGGAGGCAGCAGUGGGGAAUAUUGCGCAAUGGGGGCAACCCUGACGCAGCCAUGCCGCGUGAAUGAAGAAGGCCUUCGGGUUGUAAAGUUCUUUCGGUAGCGAGGAAGGCAUUUAGUUUAAUAGACUAGAUGAUUGACGCUAACUACAGAA
rnacentral:rRNA from 1 species